AUUGAACGCUGGCGGCAUGCCUUACACAUGCAAGUCGAACGGUAACAGGUUAAGCUGACGAGUGGCGAACGGGUGAGUAAUAUAUCGGAACGUGCCCAAUCGUGGGGGAUAACGCAGCGAAAGUUGUGCUAAUACCGCAUAAGAUCUACGGGUGAAAGCGGGGGAUCGCAAGACCUCGCGCGAGUGGAGCGGCCGAUAUCAGAUUAGCUAGUUGGUGGGGUAAAGGCCCACCAAGGCGACGAUCUGUAGCUGGUCUGAGAGGACGACCAGCCACACUGGGACUGAGACACGGCCCAGACUCCUACGGGAGGCAGCAGUGGGGAAUUUUGGACAAUGGGCGCAAGCCUGAUUCAGCAAUGCCGCGUGCAGGAUGAAGGCCUUCGGGUUGUAAACUGCUUUUGUACGGAGCGAAAAAGCUCUCUCUAAUACAGAGGGCUCAUGACGGUACCGUAAGAAUAAGCACCGGCUAACUACGUGCCAGCCGCCGCCGUAA
rnacentral:rRNA from 1 species